GGAUCAAUAUGUUGGUCGUGCCUUGGUACUUACUAUCUUAUUGGUUUCUCCCUUCUGACGAACCAUGAUGUCAUUAAUUUGGUGUCGUGGGGAAUCAGGACCGUUACUUUGAAAAAAUUAGAGUGUUUAAAGCAGGCUCACGCUUGAAUACAUUAGCAUGGAAUAAUGAAAUAGGACGUUUGAUUCUAUUUUGUUGGUUUCUAGGAUCGACGUA
rnacentral:rRNA from 1 species